ACCGAAAUAGCUCAGUUGGGAGAACGUUAGACUAUAGAUCAAAAAGUCCCUGGUUCAAUCCUGGGUUCCAGCA
rnacentral:tRNA from 1 species